AACACACGUUUGCAAUGCACACACCGCCAAAAACAAACAAAUUAGGCGCUAAAUAGUUGAAACUGCUUUGGAAUCAAACCUUCACUGUGACAUGUUCAAUUAAGCUAUAAUAGUAGUGCUAAACUCAAAUCUCAAAACCAAACAACCUCGAAAACAUGGAAGAAACAACAAGAAAACUAAUAAAAUCCAUUCACCAAAACACAAACAACCCAAAACUCGCAUGGCAUCUCUUCAAACGAAUCCUCUCUUCAUCUCCCUCAUCCUCAUCCUCAUCCUCAUCCUCUUCCUCUUCCCAUCAUCACCACCUCAUUCCCACCAUCACACGCAUCCUUCUCCGCCACAACAUGGACAACGAAAUCAACCAUCUCUUUCAACUCACCACAUCACACCAUUCCCACAUUUCAAUUCUCAAUAUCUUAUCCCAAUCACCCCACCAUCUCGAUUUCGCUUUCUCCCAUUUCAAAUCACUCAGAACCCAUUUCCCAUCAACCCCUCUUCCUCUUCAACUCUACCACCUCCUCCUCCGUUCCAGCCUCCAACAGAAUCGUCCACAUUACGUUACUUCGUUGUACACUGACAUGAUUCAAACUGGUGUUAACCCGGAAACAUAUACUUUUAAUCUUUUGAUACAGUCGUUAUGUGAAUCUAACGCGCUUGAUCAUGCACGUGAACUGUUUGAUAAAAUGUCUGAAAAGGGUUGUCAGCCUAAUAAGUUCACUGUUGGGAUACUUGUUCGUGGGUUUUGUCGAGCUGGGAGAACUAAACAGGCUUUGGAGUUUGUUGAUGGGAAGAUGGGGGGGAAUGUUAAUAGGGUUGUGUAUAAUACUCUUGUGUCGAGUUUUUGUAAACAGGAUAUGAAUGACGAGGCGGAGAAAUUGGUUGAGAGGAUGACGGAGAAGGGUUUGUUACCUGAUGUUGUUACGUUUAAUUCGAGGAUAUCUGCACUUUGUAGAGCGGGGAAGGUUUUUGAGGCGUCGAGAAUUUUUAGAGAUAUGCAGAUGGAUGGGGAAUUGGGACUUCCUAAGCCGAAUGUUGUUACUUUUAAUUUGAUGCUUAAGGGGUUUUGUCAAGAAGGGAUGAUGGAGGAAGCUAGGUCUUUGGUUGAGACUAUGAAGAAAGGUGGGAAUUUUGUUAGUUUGGAGAGUUAUAAUACUUGGUUGUUGGGUUUGCUUAGAAAUGGGAAGUUGUUGGAGGGUCGAUCGGUUCUUGAUGAAAUGGUGGAGAAUGGUAUUGAACCGAAUAUUUACUCGUAUAAUAUUGUGAUGGAUGGACUGUGUAGGAACCAUAUGAUGUUGGAUGCGAGAAGGUUGAUGGAUUUGAUGGUGAGUAAUGGUGUUUACCCGGAUACUGUUACUUAUACUACUCUACUACAUGGCUAUUGUAGCAAAGGGAAGGUUUUUGAAGCUAAAGCGAUUCUUAAUGAAAUGAUUAGGAAAGGUUGUCAUCCAAAUACUUAUACUUGCAAUACGUUGCUGAAUAGCCUGUGGAAAGAGGGGAGGAAGUCAGAGGCUGAGGAAAUGCUGCAAAAGAUGAACGAAAAGAGUUAUCAGUUAGAUACUGUGACCUGUAAUAUCGUGGUCAAUGGUCUGUGUAGAAACGGAGAAUUGGAGAAAGCAAGUGAAGUUGUAAGUGAGAUGUGGACUGAUGGAACAAAUUCCCUUGGUAAAGAAAACCCAGUUGCUGGCCUAGUUAAUUCAAUCCACAAUGUAUCGACCAAUGUGCCUGAUGUGAUCACUUAUACAACCUUAAUUAAUGGACUUUGCAAGGUUGGGAAACUAGAAGAAGCCAAAAAGAAAUUUAUUGAGAUGAUGGCGAAAAACUUGCACCCUGAUUCUGUGACCUAUGAUACGUUUGUAUUGAAUUUCUGCAAACAAGGGAAGAUAUCAUCGGCUUUACGUGUAUUGAAAGACAUGGAGAGAAAUGGUUGCAGCAAGACUCUUCAAACUUAUAAUUCAUUGAUCUUGGGGUUAGGAAGUAAAGGGCAAAUAUUUGAAAUGUACGGAUUGAUGGAUGAGAUGAGAGAAAGAGGAAUACAUCCAGAUAUUUGCACUUACAAUAAUAUGAUCAAUUGUCUCUGCGAAGGAGGGAAAACAAAGGAUGCCACUUCUCUUUUACAUGAAAUGUUGGAUAAGGGAGUCGUCUCUCCCAAUGUAUCUUCCUUCAAAAUAUUGAUUAAAGCAUUCUGCAAGUCUGGAGAUUUUAAAGUAGCAUGUGAACUUUUUGAUGUAGCUCUGAGUGUAUGUGGCCACAAAGAAGCCUUGUACAGUUUGAUGUUCAAUGAAUUACUUGCUGGGGGAAAACUCUCUGAUGCAAAAGAGCUAUUUGAAGCUUCAUUAGAAAGAUCUCUCUUAUCAAAGAAUUUCAUGUAUGAAGAUUUGAUUGACAAACUUUGCAAGGAUGGAAGGUUAGACGAUGCUCACGGCCUUCUUCAGAAAUUGAUUGAUAAGGGAUAUUGCUUCGACCAUUCAUCAUUCAUACCUGUGAUUGAUGGCUUAAGUAAAAGGGGAAACAAACAACAAGCUGAUGAACUAGGAAGGAUAAUGGAAUUGGCUUUAGAAGAUAAAACUUCUGAUAGGACUUACCGAAAUGGAAACUCCAUCUUUCGUCGAAAAUUACACAAGGAUGGUGGAAGUGAUUGGCAGGAUAUAAUUAACAGGGAUAUUGGCGGUAAUAUUGCAUUGAAAACUCUGAAGCGUGUAGAAAAAGGCUGGGGUCAAGGAAGUAUAUCGAGUUUGCUGCCUCAAAAGAAUGAUUAUCUUGAUUACUAAGAUGGUAGCAGUUUAUGUUGGUUUGAGGUUGGAGAUAUUGAAGACCUAUUUAUGCAUUUUCUGGUCACUAUCUUGGAGGAAUCUGACUCCAUUUCCAAGCAAAAAAGGGGUCCAUUCCCAUGAGAGGUGGCCAAGUGAAGACCAGUCUUUGAGACAGAUUUCCAGGAACUUUGCGGUGACAGGCAAUGUUCUGAGAGGGUUGCAGGAAGCCCUUCACCCUCUGCCUUUAGACACAUAGCAGAGUCCAUCAACCUUAUUGGAGAACCAUCUCCCUCAAAACUCCAUUCGCUAUGACUCUUACAAUCUCCCAAUACAAGUUCAUUGUUACUCCCAUUCGCGUGAGCGCACUUACCGGUCAAUGGAUGGAACAUUAUAUGAGACUUUGAGAGGUUUGAAGUUGGAUCUGCAUAAGUAAAUCACAUAAACACACAUUUUAGGCAUAAACUCUGAGUGCAUUUGAAAAAGCUUAUUUAUACCUAUGCUUGUUGUAGAACAUAAACAAUUGUAGAAGUGUCUAUGAAACUUUAUGACAAUAGUUUUGACGUGAUCAUAUGUUGUUUUGAGCUCAUUUCAGUAAACACGUAAUUUAGGCAAUCACUCAAACAACUCUAUGACACACACAUGAUAUUAAGUUGUGCAUAUGAUGUAUUAAUUUUUGUGCACAUUUUUAUGUGAAUGUGAUAAUAUAUGUAGUAUGUAUGUAUUUAUAUAUCAUAUCA